rnacentral:tRNA from 1 species
ACUUGUUUGCCCCUAAAGUCAGCAGAGCUCCAACUGGAGCCGCGAGUAGAACAGAGUGGUAUGACCCGGCUGCGACGUC